rnacentral:rRNA from 1 species
UACACGCUGUGACUAGCAUAUCAAUAAGCGGAGGAAAAGAAACUAACAAGGAUUCCCCUAGUAACGGCGAGUGAAGCGGGAAGAGCUCAAAUUUGAAAUCUUAAAGGGUUUCCCUUUACGAAUUGUAGUUUAAAGAAGUGUUUUCUGUUGAGGUUUUGGUAAAAGUUCUUUGGAAUAGGACAUCAUAGAGGGUGAGAAUCCCGUAUUUGACCUUUACUUUCAACUUUGUGAUACACUUUCAAAGAGUCGGAUUGUUUGGGAAUGCAGUCCAAAAUGGGUGGUAAAUUUCAUCUAAAGCUAAAUAUUGGCGAGAGACCGAUAGCGAACAAGUACCGUGAGGGAAAGAUGAAAAGAACUUUGAAAAGAGAGUUAAACAGUACGUGAAAUUGUCAAAAGGGAAGCGUUUGACACCAGUGUUGUUUUUCUGAAAAUCAAUUAAAGAACUGUUUAUGCUAAGUUGUUUAGACUUUAUCAGCUAACUGCUUAGUUUUGAGCUUUUCUUUAAUGCACUUUUCAGUUAACAAGUCAACAUCAAUUUCUUUUGCUGUAAAAAAGCUUGAGGAAGGUGGCUUGAGAUUCGUCUUAAGUGUUUAUAGCCUCUUGCCUAUGCAGUCGGAGAGAUUGAGGUCUGCAGCGUAGAUCCUUCGGGGCUAAAUGCAUUUGUGCUAAGUUAUAGCAUUUUAUAGACAACUUGUUGACUAUGAUUUGUCUUGUAGCUCACUCGCUUAUGUUAUUUUACCUACGCUUAGGAUGUUGAGUCGUAGAGCACGCAG